CAUUUCUGAAACACUCAGACAAGAAAUAAUCUGAACUACAGUAUUUAUCCCAGAAUGGAAAAUACAAUAAUUUGGACUUUAUUUUUUGUAGUUACUAUUCAAGGAGUUUGGAGUGAGAUCAAACUGGACCAGUCUCCCUCUGAGGUGAAAAGACCUGGAGAGACAGUGAAGAUGUCAUGUAUCAUAUCUGGUUAUAGCAUGACAAGCUACAACAUUCACUGGAUACGACAGAGGCCAGGGAAUGCUCUGGAGUGGAUUGGGAGGAUGAACACAGGCAGCAACUCUGCUAGCUAUGGCAGCUCCUUUCAGAGCCGUUUCAUCAUGACUGAAGAUGAGCCCAGCAGCACUCAGUACCUCGAGGUCACGAGCCUGAGAGCAGAAGAUUCUGCUGUUUACUUCUGUGCUCGAGAAGACACAGUGACUGAAGACAGUGGAGCAGCUGCACAAAAACAUCCACUGACAACUAACAGCAAA